ACAUGAACAGUCCUCAGCUUUCUGCAUUCUGGAUAACUGGCUAUGACAGUCACACAUCAGAGUCUACUGUCCUCAUGCGAUGGAAAGUGAGUGAGAGCAGCGAGCCUGUGAGCAUUGUUCAUGCCAGGCAACAGCCGUCAAUGUGGGGGUCGAGCAGACGCCACUUUUGCAGAGGAAUCGUCCAGGAGCCCCAGCCGGAUGAGAAUGUCAGAAGUGGACCUGAGCAGCCUGGACAUCCUGCUAGGGAAACAAGAAUAGUUCUCAGGUUUCUGCCUUCUGCAUAACUGGCUUACCAAGCAAAAAGACGUCACAUGUCAAAGUCUGCUGCCCUUAUGAGUGAGAGUGACGAGACUGCGAGCGUUGUUGGUGCCAGGCAGGAGCCGUCCAUCUGGGAGCAGAACAGCUGCUACUAUCACUGAGAUAAGUAUCUGUUUUGCUGAGGGUUCUGCUCACGGCCCACCUGGCUACAGGUAGAGACACCCCGUUAGGUGGAGUGGGUUUGUAAGAAAAGGUUCCUGACUAGCUGUGGUUUUGAGGGAGACAGUCCCCAUUUUCAGGGGCUGAUGAUUUCUCUGGCCAGGAUCGGUGUGUC